CUUUACAUUUCCUCCUCCUCCAUUGGAUCUAUCUCAUAAAUCCACCAUUUUCAGCCUUCAAUUUACUUGUGAUUUAACUUCAUCUGCUUAUUUUCCGAUCUUAAUAUCGACUUACGUUUUUGGCAUUCGGAUCGACUAGCAACGUACGUAGCGAGUUAUGCCAUGAAAGAUGGGGAUCGUUUUUGUUUUCACGAACGUAGAUAUGAUAAGAUCUGAUGGCGAUGAUCUUGAUCUGAUUGUUGGAAUUGGUGGACUCGGAAUUAUACUAUUAAGCAUAUUGAGACAUGGGUACGCCUCAUAUUUGAAUCAAGGUAACUUGAUCCUCGGUGGACAACACAGACUCCACAAUUUUGGAACUACUUGGUUAGGCAGCAAGGGCCCUAUUAGGUUGUUCCUUAUGCCAAUGGCAUAGAGUCCGCAUUUCCAGGGUGGUGCAGCGUGAGUCGGAUAUUUCUCCUAAUGUACCGCAGUAGACGACCUCCCUUGGCGAUUGUGGUGUUUUGGUUUGUAAGUUUGUAUCACAGUUGAAGGACGACGACGAGCCAUCUUGUGGGAUAGAUAUGGAGUCGACAUCCAUUAUCUUCCAUUGGAAGAUGUGAGAGAUAUUGUACUCGAUGAGGUUCUAGGUUAUGAGAGAUUCAACUUUAGUUUUUUAGAACAUUUUUAAAAUAAAACGUCGUAUUAGCUAUUUUAUAAGACACUUUUGAGAAGUAUCAUAUAAACACAUCUUUUUAUAAGACACAUAAUUCUAUAAUACAUUUUUUCAUAUAAAGUAGCUAAUAUGAUGCUUUAAUUUAAAAAUAUUCUAAAAACCUUGUUAAGACACCGAAAAAACAUCCUAUAGACUUAUUGCAACACUCUAAGAUAUGAUGCUUUAUCGUUUGGUUCUA